rnacentral:rRNA from 1 species
AUUGAACGCUGGCGGCAGGCCUAACACAUGCAAGUCGAACGAGUGGCGGACGGGUGAGUAAUGUCUGGGAAACUGCCUGAUGGAGGGGGAUAACUACUGGAAACGGUAGCUAAUACCGCAUACCAUCGGAUGUGCCCAUAUGGGAUUAGCUAGUAGGUGAGGUAACGGAUUACCUAGGCGACGAUCCCUAGCUGGUCUGAGAGGAUGACCAGCCACACUGGGACUGAGACACGGCCCAGACUCCUACGGGAGGCAGCAGUGGGGAAUAUUGCACAAUGGGCGCAAGCCUGAUGCAGCCAUGCCGCGUGUAUGAAGAAGGCCUUCGGGUUGUAAAGUACUUUCAGUGGGGAGGCGUUACUCGCAGAGGAAGCACCGGCUAACUCCGUGCCAGCAGCCGCGGUAAUAC